rnacentral:rRNA from 1 species
UGAGGAAUAUUGGUCAAUGGGCGAGAGCCUGAACCAGCCAUGCCGCGUGAGUGAUGAAGGCCCUAGGGUUGUAAAGCUCUUUCACCGGUGAAGAUAAUGACGGUAACCGGAGAAGAAGCCCCGGCUAACUUCGUGCCAGCAGCCGCGGUAAUACGAAGGGGGCUAGCGUUGUUCGGAUUUACUGGGCGUAAAGCGCACGUAGGCGGACUUUUAAGUCAGGGGUGAAAUCCCGGGGCUCAACCCCGGAACUGCCUUUGAUACUGGAAGUCUUGAGUAUGGUAGAGGUGAGUGGAAUUCCGGGUGUAGAGGUGAAAUUCGUAGAUAUUCGGAGGAACACCAGUGGCGAAGGCGGCUCACUGGACCAUUACUGACGCUGAGGUGCGAAAGCGUGGGGAGCAAACAGG